rnacentral:rRNA from 1 species
UACGUAGGGGGCAAGCGUUGUCCGGAAUCAUUGGGCGUAAAGCGCGCGUAGGCGGCCCGGUAAGUCCGUUGUGAAAGUUAAAGCUCAACCUUUGAACGCCGAUGGAUACUGCCGGGCUAGAGUCCGGAAGAGGCGAGUGGAAUUCCUGGUGGUAGCGGUGGAAUGCGCAGAUAUCAGGAGGAACACCAAUAGCGAAGGCAGCUCGCUGGGACGGUACUGACGCUGAGGCGCGAAAGCGUGGGGAGCGAACAGGA